rnacentral:rRNA from 1 species
UGGCGGCAGGCUUAACACAUGCAAGUCGAGCGGGCGAGGUUGCUUCGGUAACUGAGCUAGCGGCGGACGGGUGAGUAAUGCUUAGGAAUCUGCCUAUUAGUGGGGGACAACAUUCCGAAAGGGAUGCUAAUACCGCAUACGUCCUUCGGGAGAAAGCAGGGGCUCUUUAUGUCCUUGCGCUAAUAGAUGAGCCUAAGUCGGAUUAGCUAGUUGGUGGGGUAAAGGCCUACCAAGGCGACGAUCUGUAGCGGGUCUCAGAGGAUGAUCCGCCACACUGGGACUGAGACACGGGCCAGACUCCUACGGGAGGCAGCAGUGGGGAAUAUUGGACAAUGGGGGGAACCCUGAUCCAGCCAUGCCGCGUGUGUGAAGAAGGCCUUUUGGUUGUAAAGCACUUUAAGUGGGGAGGAGGCUUACCUGGUUAAUACCUGGGAUAAGUGGACGUUACCCACAGAAUAAGCACCGGCUAACUCUGUGCCAGCAGCCGCGGUAAUACAGAGGGUGCGAGCGUUAAUCGGAUUUACUGGGCGUAAAGCGCGCGUAGGUGGUUAAUUAAGUCAAAUGUGACAUCCCCGAGCUUAACUUGGGAAUUGCAUUCGAUACUGGUUAGCUAGAGUAUGGGAGAGGAUGGUAGAAUUCCAGGUGUAGCGGUGAAAUGCGUAGAGAUCUGGAGGAAUACCGAUGGCGAAGGCAGCCAUCUGGCCUAAUACUGACACUGAGGUGCGAAAGCAUGGGGAGCAAACAGGAUUAGAUACCCUGGUAGUCCAUGCCGUAAACGAUGUCUACUAGCCGUUGGGGGAUUUGAUCCUUUAGUGGUGCAGCUAACGCGAUAAGUAGACCGCCUGGGGAGUACGGUCGCAAGACUAAAACUCAAAUGAAUUGACGGGGGCCCGCACAAGCGGUGGAGCAUGUGGUUUAAUUCGAUGCAACGCGAAGAACCUUACCUGGCCUUGACAUAGUAGAGACUUUCCAGAGAUGGAAAGGUGCCUUCGGGAAUCUACAUACAGGUGCUGCAUGGCUGUCGUCAGCUCGUGUCGUGAGAUGUUGGGUUAAGACCCGCAACGAGCGCAACCCUUUUCCUUACUUGCCACCAUUUCGGAUGGGAACUUUAAGGAUACUGCCAGUGACAAACUGGAGGAAGGCGGGGACGACGUCAAGUCAUCAUGGCCCUUACGGCCAGGGCUACACACGUGCUACAAUGGUCGGUACAAAGGGUUGCUACCUAGCGAUGUGAUGCUAAUCUCAAAAAGCCGAUCGUAGUCCGGAUCGCAGUCUGCA